UUAAGUCAGGCAACAAGCGAGAUCCCUGCCCUUAGUUGCUGCAGUUACUCUCAGGAGUAGCUGGGCUAACUAAGGGGACCGCCACUGCUGAAGUGGAGGAAGGAGGGGGCCACGGCAGGUCAGUAUGCCCCGAAACCCUGGGGCUACACGCGGGCUGCAAUGAUAGAGACAACGGGUUCCGAACUCGAAAGAGGGAGGCAAUCCUUAAACUCUAUCUCAGUUAUGAUUGAGGGCUGCAACUCGCCCUCAUGAAUAUGGAAUCCCUAGUAACCGCGCGUCAUAACCGCGCAGUGAAUACGUCCCUGCUCCUUGCACA
rnacentral:rRNA from 1 species